AUCCAGGNAUGUCUGACGGAGCACGCCGCGUGUUUCCUUGAAGGUUUCCGGAUCGUAAAGCUCUGUUGUUAGGUUAAGAACAAGUGCGAGAGUAACUGCUCGCACCUUGACGGUACCUAACCAGAAAGCCACGGCUAACUACGUGCCAGCAGCCGCGGUAAUACGUAGGUGGCAAGCGUUGUCCGGAAUUAUUGGGCGUAAAGGGCUCGCAGGCGGUUUCUUAAGUCUGAUGUGAAAGCCCCCGGCUCAACCGGGGAGGGUCAUUGGAAACUGGGAAACUUGAGUGCAGAAGAGGAGAGUGGAAUUCCACGUGUAGCGGUGAAAUGCGUAGAGAUGUGGAGGAACACCAGUGGCGAAGGCGACUCUCUGGUCUGUAACUGACGCUGAGGAGCGAAAGCGUGGGGAGCGAACAGGAUUAGAUACCCUGGUAGUCCACGCCGUAAACGAUGAGUGCUAAGUGUUAGGGGGUUUCCGCCCCUUAGUGCUGCAGCUAACGCAUUAAGCACUCCGCCUGGGGAGUACGGUCGCAAGACUGAAACUCAAAGGAAUUGACGGGGGCCCGCACAAGCGGUGGAGCAUGUGGUUUAAUUCGAAGCAACGCGAAGAACCUUACCAGGUCUUGACAUCCUCUGACAACCCUAGAGAUAGGGCUUUCCCUUCGGGGACAGAGUGACAGGUGGUGCAUGGUUGUCGUCAGCUCGUGUCGUGAGAUGUUGGGUUAAGUCCCGCAACGAGCGCAACCCUUGAUCUUAGUUGCCAGCAUUCAGUUGGGCACUCUAAGGUGACUGCCGGUGACAAACCGGAGGAAGGUGGGGAUGACGUCAAAUCAUCAUGCCCCUUAUGACCUGGGCUACACACGUGCUACAAUGGACAGAACAAAGGGCUGCAAGACCGCAAGGUUUAGCCAAUCCCAUAAAUCUGUUCUCAGUUCGGAUCGCAGUCUGCAACUCGACUGCGUGAAGCUGGAAUCGCUAGUAAUCGCGGAUCAGCAUGCCGCGGUGAAUACGUUCCCGGGCCUUGUACACACCGCCCGUCACACCACGAGAGUUUGCAACACCCGAAGUCGGUGAGGUAACCUUUAUGGAGCCAGCCGCCGAAGGUGGGGCAGAUGAUUGGGGUGAAGUCGUAACAAGGUNAACCAA
rnacentral:rRNA from 1 species